UUAAACCUGGACCUGGUUAGCAGUGAGGUGUGUGCCCUUCCCCACAUCAACAGGAUCCAAGUGCAUAGCCGUCUCCGUGACAGUUCAUCUCUUACAAAGAAGGAAGGCCAGUGACUGCUACCCAUGGGGAUGAUGGAACCAUUGAGGAAAAGAGGAUUCCAACAUAGGUUUGCCCUGAAUUCAAAAAUGAACACACUCUCCACAUGGAAGAACUGAGGCUCAGGGAACAUCAUGGAAGAAGGAAAAAAAGGUGCUUCAUAGCCUCACCCAGAAACUAAUGUCUUAAAAGAAGAGCAUGAAGAGGUGAUUAUGAAGAGGGCUUCCUUACAAACUGACAGAAGGAUGUCAUCUG
rnacentral:lncRNA from 1 species